rnacentral:rRNA from 1 species
UUAAAUUGAAGAGUUUGAUCAUGGCUCAGAUUGAACGCUGGCGGCAGGCCUAACACAUGCAAGUCGAACGGUAACAGGAAGCAGCUUGCUGCUUUGCUGACGAGUGGCGGACGGGUGAGUAAUGUCUGGGAAACUGCCUGAUGGAGGGGGAUAACUACUGGAAACGGUAGCUAAUACCGCAUAACGUCGCAAGACCAAAGAGGGGGACCUUCGGGCCUCUUGCCAUCGGAUGUGCCCAGAUGGGAUUAGCUAGUAGGUGGGGUAACGGCUCACCUAGGCGACGAUCCCUAGCUGGUCUGAGAGGAUGGCCAGCCACACUGGAACUGAGACACGGUCCAGACUCCUACGGGAGGCAGCAGUGGGGAAUAUUGCACAAUGGGCGCAAGCCUGAUGCAGCCAUGCCGCGUGUAUGAAGAAGGCCUUCGGGUUGUAAAGUACUUUCAGCGGGGAGGAAGGGAGUAAAGUUAAUACCUUUGCUCAUUGACGUUACCCGCAGAAGAAGCACCGGCUAACUCCGUGCCAGCAGCCGCGGUAAUACGGAGGGUGCAAGCGUUAAUCGGAAUUACUGGGCGUAAAGCGCACGCAGGCGGUUUGUUAAGUC